rnacentral:rRNA from 1 species
CAGCACCUCAAGUGAUCAGGAUGAUUAUUGGGCCUAAAGCAUCCGUAGCCGGCGCUGUAAGUUUUCGGUUAAAUCUGUACGCUCAACGUACAGGCUGCCGGGAAUACUGCAGCGCUAGGGAGUGGGAGAGGUAGACGGUACUCGGUAGGAAGGGGUAAAAUCCUUUGAUCUAUUGAUGACCACCUGUGGCGAAGGCGGUCUACCAGAACACGUCCGACGGUGAGGGAUGAAAGCUGGGGGAGCAAACCGGAUUAGAUACCCGAGUAGUCC